rnacentral:lncRNA from 1 species
AUUCUUUCUCUACGUGACUCUUCUAAUGGAUUGUUGUUUCCACUGCAUUUAUUGAUCUAAAACUUGUUGUCUAUUGUAUUCUAUUAGAUUUUUCCCUGUUGAAGACUAACGAUAAUUUGUUGUAUAUUAUCUUAGUCAUAAUAUUCUUUAUUGGGCUAGUUGAGCUCACCCUUUUCCUUUUUGUUCCAUUUUUCUUCUCAGGAGGUGAGAACAUAGCAGGAUCGAG